CUCUCAAAUUGCAUUUCCGUGCUUUCCUCUUUCGGUCUUUCCACACCCAGAAAUGCCCAGUACCAAACCCUGGAUCUUUUUUUUGACUGGAAAAGAUCAGGAACCCUAGAUUUCAUUUACUUAUCUCUCGUAUCCAACAAUCACAAAUCUCUCUCGUGGCCGAAAACCUCCAUUUUUCCACCUCAAUUUCUUAAACCCUAAUUAAUAUUUGGUUCUCUCCGUAAAAUUAAAACAGGGUUUCAUGGAUUACUUCAAGAAAUUUUAGCUUGCUUGCCUACCGAAUCGGUACUAGAAUGCAAAUUGGUUUCCAGAGAAAUCUCGUUUCUCAUCAUCCGUCCUUCUCUCGGAUGCAAUCUCAAUCAUCCUUAUGCUGAUGAUGAUUCUGGUAAAUUCGGUUUUCUUGCUCAUACAUAUGAUAUCGAUGGUAAUAUAAAAAUUCACUAUUUUGAAUUUAUUGAAAAUCAUGAGUCAGCUCCCAUCCAGAGAAUUAGAAUGGUUAAUAUGAUUCCUCCAUAUAAGAGUAUGUUCUUUGUUGGUUCAUGCAAUGGGUUGAUCUGUCUUGCUGAAUACCCCGACCCCCAUCUGUUUGCAUUUUUAACCCCAUUACCAGAGAAUGUGUUAUGCUUCCGGAACUUAAAAGAGAUUACUCUUGUGAUAUUGAUGAGACAAGGAGCAAUUUUGGUUAUGUUUCUUCAAACAAUGAGUACAAAGUCUUAAAAACAUUUCUGCUGAAGACCAAGAUGGUAGACCUCUACAUAUAUACUCUAGGCAGUGGCGAUGGAUGGCGAAACCUUGGAAAGUUUGAUUUUGGAUCCAGCAAAUGUUGGCAACACGGUGUUUUUGCCAAUGGAGCUCUUUACUGUCUGGGCAGAGAAUUAGAAACCAUCAUCACAUUUGAUUUGGGCGAGGAGAAGUUCUGCGAACGUCUUUCACUUCCUCUUUUGCCACCAGACGGAUAUUUAUUUUAUUAUAUAUGUGGUUUGGAUGGAUAUUUGUCUUUGUUAAGUAUUGUAGAAACCAUAUAUCUUGACAUAUGGCCAUUGAAAAAGAAGAAUGAUAAUCAUGACAAGAAAGAGGGAGAGGAACACCAGCCAUUGGUUUGGAGUAAAGAGUUCAGGGUUGAAAAUAGCGAUCCAUUAACUAUUACAAAGAAAAGCUGUGUUUUAAUUUACAUUGGUCAUGAUCUCAACCUUUACGACGCAAAACUUCAACUUCGAAAAGGCUUGUGGAGUUUAAGGAUUGGUUUUUAUCAUAUCCCCUCACAAGAACACCUUUGUUUCGUUGAAAGAAUUAGGGGAAGAAGAUACGAAAGAAAUGGAGUCAGUUGAAAUUGAGGAGACAAGAAGCCGUCCUGAGUACAUAUACUUAUAAACUGGUGGAAAGUUGGACUUUGACUCUCUGAAGCGGGGUUUGGUAUAUUUUUUCGACAUUGAGAAACCAGAACAGCUGUUUCUGACUGGUACGGGCAAGGACAAGAGCUGCCAAGGUUGGCAAAGGUUCAUCCAAGGAUGAAAAGGCGCAAAAACUAGCCUUGCAACAUUAACUUGAAGCUGUAACUUUAGGGACCUUGUUCAAUAUGAACUGUCUGAGAUUGACACACUUAAACAUAUUUUAUUUUUUUCAUUGACCCACGACAUCCCUAUGGUUACUACCUACACCUCUACUAUGAUGUGUGGUUCAAAAGCGAGAGGUAGUUGGCCAUACUUACCGGUAGAUACUUCUUUUAAAGCUCUUUCCCCAAUAGAUUUACUUCCUUUAUGUUUUUCCUCAUGAUUUUAUCUUCAUAAAUUUUGAAGGUUGGAUGUUGGGGAUUAUAACUGUUGUACUUGAGGUGCUGAUGAUUCUGAUUUGCCAAUUAGGGAACUUGCUCUUUUUGUGAUAGUUGAAAUGCUUAACAGUCAGGUUUAUGAGAUUUUGUUCUGGUACUUUUUUAGUCCGCUUGGUUAGUUUGUAAUGUAACUAUUCCAUUAUUAUCUAAUUUCCAGAAAGAAUCCAUGGAAUAUUCAAUUGAGAUUGCAGUAUGAAAAACUACCGAGGUUACGGUUGCCAAGGUUUCAAGUGAAGCAGAGCAGUGCUUAGCUUUAGUUUUGUCCGUUUAGAUGCCUACAGUUAUUGUCCCCUUAUUAUAGUAAAUAUGAGAAGGCUCUUGUUUCUUGCAUCAACUGUCUGACCAAGGAAUAUUCAAUUGGAGUUCACUGAUGCGACAGAGAGCCUCCUGCAAGCUGCUCAUAAAGCUCCUGUUGGAGCCCUUGGCUUGGGAGUUCGAUACAGCAAACGGGGGCAUUAUAGUUCUAUUUCUAUUGGGGAAAUACCAGAGUAAACAGUUUUGAGGCCAUACAUUGACUCUUCAAACUCGCACUAAAUGAGUUAUUGCCUCUUCUUCUGCUCAUGAUGGUUAAACGCCAGCUUUCAUGUUUACGUGACCUGCCAAUUGGUUAUUGCUCAAUUAGAUGGGUGCUGAGUGAUUGCUAAAUGCUGUUCUUGUAGGUGAUUUGGAGUUGUUUAGGAAUGUUGCGGAUAAGUUCGCAAGUACUUUCAGCUCAGACAGCACUCUUAAUCUGGUGGUGAGGUUGCGAUAUAAUGGUAUCAGGACAGGGACUCGCUAUACAUGCUUCUCUUAUCCCCGCAUUUCACUUGUUGAUGUUGCUCACAAGCCAAGGUUAGACUCACCGAAUCCUGUGGCGGAUGCUGAGAGCAAUGUAGCCAAGGCUUUCCGAGAUAAUGAGGCUGUUCCCGCACUGGGAUUAUCUCCAAAUUCACACAUAAGAAGGAAAGUGCAACAAAGAGAAGGGGGAGAACAACAUGAGCAACAAACAUAUUUCCGAGGAUGAUGGAGAUGAGUUGUAAAUCUCACCUGCCAGCUUAUGUCAAGUUGUUACCAUUCCCCUUAUAAAACUGAUCUUGGUAGGUUUUCAAACAUAAAGUAAAAAUGAUAAUGAUAGAACAAUUUUUCAAACAUAAUUAAAUUUUUGUUUUUACCAGGUUGAAAUCUUUAUAAGAAAAGUAAACUUUCUUGAAUGCCAAUCUCACCCCAAAUUUGUAUCGCCCUCGGAGAAGAAUUUCAUUAUUCUGGAUCAACUGUUUCGAUCGACUUCACAAGGUCUAAUUAGAUCUGAUGAAGGAAGGACUGGAGUUGGCUUGAAGAUUUCAGAUCAGAUGGAGUUAAAAACGAGAUGGAAGCUUAAUGAAUCAGGCCUCAAAUAUCGACUUUGGACAACAGGAAAACUCACAAGAAAACAAGAACAAUGAAACAUGUAGGGGG